rnacentral:rRNA from 1 species
AACGUAGGUGGCGAGCGUUAUCCGGAAUUACUGGGCGUAAAGCGUGCGCAGGCGGUUCUGAAAGUCAGCUGUGAAAGCCCCGGGCUUAACCUGGGAAUUGCGGUUGAAACUACAGGGCUAGAAUCUGGCAGAGGGGGGUGGAAUUCCACGUGUAGCAGUGAAAUGCGUAGAGAUGUGGAGGAACACCGAUGGCGAAGGCAGCCCCCUGGGCUGAGAUUGACGCUCAGGCACGAAAGCGUGGGGAGCAAACAGG